GAUGAACGCUGGCGGCAUGCCUAACACAUGCAAGUCGAUCGGUAAGGCUCUUCGGAGUACACGAGAGGCGGACGGCUGAGUAACGCGUAGGAACACACCCUGCAGUGAGGGAUAAGACACCGAAAGGUGUUCUAAUACCGCAUACGGUCUGCGGAUUAAAGCAUUUAUGCGCUGAAGGAGUGGCCUGCGUCAUAUUAGAUAGUUGGUGAGGUAAUGGCUCACCAAGUCGAUGAUGUGUAGCUGGUCUGAGAGGAUGAUCAGCCAGACUGGAACUGAGACACGGUCCAGACUCCUACGGGAGGCAGCAGUGAGGAAUAUUUCACAAUGAGCGAAAGCUUGAUGGAGCAAUGCCGCGUGCAGGAUGAAGGCCCUCGGGUUGUAAACUGCUUUUAUAAGAGAAGAUUAUGACGGUAACUUAUGAAUAAGGGACGGCUAACUACGUG
rnacentral:rRNA from 1 species